CCUACGGGUGGCAGCAGUGGGGAAUAUUGGACAAUGGGCGAAAGCCUGAUCCAGCCAUGCCGCGUGUGUGAAGAAGGCCUUCGGGUUGUAAAGCACUUUCAGUGGGGAAGAAAGCCUUGGGGCUAAUACCCUCGAGGAAGGACAUCACCCACAGAAGAAGCACCGGCUAACUCCGUGCCAGCAGCCGCGGUAAUACGGAGGGUGCGAGCGUUAAUCGGAAUUACUGGGCGUAAAGCGCGCGUAGGCGGUCUGAUAAGCCGGUUGUGAAAGCCCCGGGCUCAACCUGGGAACGGCAUCCGGAACUGUCAGGCUAGAGUGCAGGAGAGGAAGGUAGAAUUCCCGGUGUAGCGGUGAAAUGCGUAGAGAUCGGGAGGAAUACCAGUGGCGAAGGCGGCCCUCUGGACUGACACUGACGCUGAGGUGCGAAAGCGUGGGUAGCAAACAGGAUUAGAUACCCUGGUAGUC
rnacentral:rRNA from 1 species